rnacentral:rRNA from 1 species
GGCCUGAUGAUUAUAAUUUUAGGUCGAUCUGCCCAAUGAUUUAUAAUUGAAUGGCUGCAGUAUAAUUAACUGUACAAAGGUAGCAUAGUCAAUUGUUUUUUAAUUGAAAACUGGAAUGAAAGAAUUAAUGAGAUAUAUACUGUCUCAUAUAUAUUUUAUUAAGUUAAAUUUUUAGUUAAAAUGCUGAAAUAAAUUUAUGGGACGAUAAGACCCUAUAGAAUUUUAUAUUAAAAUUUAAGAUAGAUUAAUUUUUAAGUUUAAUAUUUAGUUGGGAGGAUUGGUAAAUUUAAUUAACUUUAUUUUAAAAGUAUACUUUGAUUUGAGAAUUUAUUAAUGAUUUUGUAUUAUUGAUUAUAAGAAAAAAUUACCUUAGGGAUAACAGCGUAAUAUCUUUUUAAAGAUCGAAUUUGUAAAGAUGAUUGCGACCUCGAUGUUGAAUUAAGAUAAAUUUUAAAUGGAGAAGUUUAAUGAUUAAGUCUGUUCGACUUUUAAAAUCUUACAUGAUUUGAGUUCAAAUCGACGUGAGU